rnacentral:ribozyme from 12 species
AACAAAACAAAGAAACGAACAAACCAAAAAAAAAGAAAAAAAAGAAAAAAGAGA